rnacentral:rRNA from 1 species
UACGGAAGGCAGCAGUGGGGAAUAUUGCACAAUGGGCGCAAGCCUGAUGCAGCCAUGCCGCGUGUAUGAAAAAGGCCUUCGGGUUGUAAAGUACUUUCAGUCGUGAGGAAGGUGUUAAGGUUAAUAACCUUAGCAAUUGACGUUAGCGACAGAAGAAGCACCGGCUAACUCCGUGCCAGCAGCCGCGGUAAUACGGAGGGUGCGAGCGUUAAUCGGAAUUACUGGGCUAAAGGGCACGCAGGCGGUUAAUUAAGUUGGAUGUGAAAUCCCCGGGCUUAACCUGGGAAUGGCAUUCAAGACUGGUUAGCUAGAGUCUUGUAGAGGGGGUAGAAUUCCAUGUGUAGCGGUGAAAUGCGUAGAGAUGUGGAGGAAUACCGGUGGCGAAGGCGGCCCCUGGGACAAAGGACUGACGCUCAUGUGCGAAAGCGUGGGGAGCAAAC